rnacentral:rRNA from 1 species
AGAGUUUGAUCCUGGCUCAGAAUCAACGCUGGCGGCGUGCCUAACACAUGCAAGUCGAACGCGGUUAUCCAGCAAUGGAUGACUGAGUGGCGAACGGGUGAGUAACACGUGGGUGACCUACCUUCGAGUGGGGGAUAACGUCCCGAAAGGGACGCUAAUACCGCAUAACAUCCUGCCUUUGAACAGGCGGUGAUCAAAGCCGGGGACCGUAAGGCCCGGCGCUUGAUGAGGGGCUCGCGUCUGAUUAGCUAGUUGGUGAGGUAACGGCCCACCAAGGCGACGAUCAGUAUCCGGCCUGAGAGGGCGGACGGACACACUGGGACUGAGACACGGCCCAGACUCCUACGGGAGGCAGCAGUGGGGAAUUGUUCACAAUGGGCGCAAGCCUGAUGACGCAACGCCGCGUGGAGGAUGAAGGUCUUCGGAUUGUAAACUCCUGUUGCCCGGGACGAAAAGCUCUGACCUAACACGUCGGAGUCUGACGGUACCGGGUNAGGAAGCCCC